UACGUAGGGUGCAAGCGUUAAUCGGAAUUACUGGGCGUAAAGCGUGCGCAGGCGGUUUUGUAAGUCUGUCGUGAAAUCCCCGGGCUCAACCUGGGAAUUGCGAUGGAGACUGCAAGGCUAGAAUCUGGCAGAGGGGGUAGAAUUCCACGUGUAGCAGUGAAAUGCGUAGAGAUGUGGAGGAACACCGAUGGCGAAGGCAGCCCCCUGGGUCAAGAUUGACGCUCAUGCACCGAAAGCGUGGGGAGCAAAC
rnacentral:rRNA from 1 species